rnacentral:lncRNA from 1 species
UAAAAGUGCGUACUCUUUUCAUUCCCCUUUGACCUCACGCAUGUGUCCGCCCACCGGCAUUCCACUUCCGUGUUUACAGAAGCCGCACGGCAGCACGGACAGUCGCGCAUACAACCGCGGACCUGCGCGCCUCGCUAUAAAACCGAUGGUAAGUCGACUUCCUCUCUUUUGAGCACUAGAGCUCCGUAGCUGUAGCUUAACAUAGCCUUCUGUUAUAGGCCGCAGUGUAGCUCUCUAGCUGAGCCUCUCUCCUCCAUAGGAGCUGCAUUUCAGCCCCAAAGUGGUGAGUAAUGCCUGUGCCUUUGGUGUGAGGGCUCCAGUAUUCCAAUCUAAUAUUUCGUCCUCCACUUUUUACUCCAGACGCUGCUGUUUUGCUCCACCUCGCUACACGCUACUACUCUGCUGCGUUGCAGCGAUUGUUUACGCUGUGUUCUACCUAUACCAUCAUUCACCUAUCCUACCCGCUGCUGCAACGUUACGGCGCUCGCUCUGCCGGCAUUUAGACCUCGCUAACACACUCCUGGCUGCGGUUCCAUUGUGGUCGUGUGGACCACUUUCCCUGGUCCAUCUACAAAGUGCUGCUCGGUCUGAUAUUACACCCACAAGGAAUCUAGCGCCUGUCCUAAGGAGGUGGCGCUGCAACGCCGUGUGGAACGUUAUCCCUUUGGGAAGCGACGCACGGGAUUAUUGACUAUGGACUGAUUUCUUUUUCAAUUGUAAUUUUAAACUUUUGUUUUCCUAGGAGCUGACUACCGAGCCUAGUGGUGGUGGUGGAUCCCCUGGUGGUGGCCCCUUUUUGGUUUGUGGUGCACUUUCACUAUUUAUUGCUUUACUAUUUUGUUGUGUUUUGAUAUUAGUUAGGUUGUCCCACCCACGGUUGUCCCCCCUCCAUCCACAGGUAAACCCUGCUCCUAGGUUCUCACGUUUGUUUUGUAUGUAUAUAGAAAACUUGGUACCUUUUUAUAAACAAACGCAUUUGAUAACGUUAAAAUUUUAACUUUUCUACUAUCAAUAAAGCUCGUCAAAUCGAACUGAACAGUCUCCGGCCUCUCAGUAAAAGUGAACCUGUGUGCUGUACCCCAUAUUCUCCAGGCGAAAUUCCUGGUGUGGCGUUGUCGGCCCUGGUACAGUAGCAUUAAGCGCUGUACCUGGCAAUCGAUCAAAUUUACACCCCCCUC